rnacentral:rRNA from 1 species
AUGUCUUCCUCAAGCUCCCGCGCCACCUCGCGGAUGCAGAGCCGGGCGCGUGUGGACAUGCAUGUCUUCGUCUGUCCGCGGUGCCGGGCGGGCGUUGAUCGGAGGGUUUCUCACACACCAAGGAACCAGAAUCGUCCGUUCUACGUGUGCAGUGAGAAUGGGGUGACAUGCUUAUUUCUUUGGGUCGAUGCUCUGGCCAAGACUCUGAUGAAUGAACUGCAAGAAGAGCAUGAAGAAUGGUUGCACAUGCUGCCACGAACGGCAGUGGCCGCAGCACGAGCUCCGGAAGAAGAGAUGGAGGGCGAAGCACGCACUGACAGAGAGCUAGCUGUUGAGCUUAGGAUGUUGAAGACGAAGGUUAGGAAGCUUGAAGAUCAAGCACUACCAAUACCCAUUUGCAAAUACUUUUGGGCAUUUGUAGGUAUGGUAAUCACACUGGUUGUAAUAUUGAAAAUGUAUGGAAAGGCAUGA